CAGAUGGAAGCAGUGCGGGGAGUGGAACAACUGUAUUCAUGGUUUGACACCACACCUCAUCGUGAUGCAAUAUACAUGUAUCAAUCAGCAGAAAAUUCCACAUGACAACUUUUCAACUAUUUUUGUCUUAGAUUUCAGUAUAUGUAAACAUGACUUUGCACAUGUGCCAUUUACAUUUCCUUCAUGGAAACACGUACGUCUCUGCUCAGUCACGGCUUUUGUCAUGAAACUGCUCUUUUGCAAUAAGGGGAAUUCCUGGUUCCUCCUCUGACAAGCCUUUUUUUUCUCUCCGUCUCCCUUUUUCCCUUUUUUGUUUUAUGGGAACUGAGGGCUGAACCAGUGAGAUGUUUUUCCUCAGAAGCGCUUUGUAUUGAUUCAUUAUGAGGGGGCGGGAGAUUCCCUCCCACUGCUUCCUUCUUACUGGGAAGUGAUUGCAGGCUUACGGUCUGAGAGAGCAUGAGGGAGUGAGUGUGAGAGGGACACAGAGAGAGAGAGAGAGAGAGAUAUUUAAGCUGAGAGAAAUCAGAAGUCAUAUAUUCAGAAGUCGCUCAUCUCUGGCUUUACGUGUGAGUUUCUGGGGACAAACGAGGAUUGUGGAUUUUAAAGCAACAGCUUGAUCCAUAGAAGGAGAGAUGUGAUCCUGACCAGCUGGGAUAAGCCUGAUUUUCUCCUUAUCAGAUAAGUAUUGGAUGUAUUUUGGGAGAGAAAUAUAAAUGUUUCACUGGCUCUAUAAAAUUAUAAAGAUCAUGAUUGUGUUGUCAUGUGAUUUCUCAUCACUACACACAUGUAGUUUUAUAAUGUGGCAUCAUGAGAGAACAGGAAAAUAAGUGAUAUUUCUGGUACUUCAGAGGGGGUUUCCAACGGUGCACCCAUCAGGGCAGUUCGACUGGUUCAGAGCCGAUUAUUGGGAAGAGACAGUUUCCUGAAAGUCCUCAGGUGUGGCAGAUGAAUUCGUGAUUCUCGUGUUCAAAGAAAGCAAAAGUGUAUCAAAGGUCUGGAGCUCUGAAGACUCUUGGGUUUGGGAAUCAGCGUAGAAAUAAACAGCAUUUCUUCUAAACAGUAGACUGAUGAAGUGUGUUCGGAGCGCUCGGCCCUGAGAACUGAAUUCCAUAGAUGGUGUUCAUAUAGAGUUCAUCUAUGGACUCAGUUCUUCUGGCACUGUGUUCAACUUCUGCUCAUUGAAAACACUUCAGAUGUACAUGGUAUUCUGUCAUUCUAAGAAGUAACUUGUGACAAACCUGAUUAAACAAGAUACAAUGUCACAAGAUGAGUUACAAUCUGAGAUAUGAUUUCUUUUGUGUCGUUCUUCCAAUAAAUGUUUACAAAUUCAUUCAAA